rfam:Schistosoma margrebowiei strain Zambia genome assembly, scaffold: SMRZ_contig0012860
ACCCAACUGACGAGUCCUAAGUAGGAUGCAACACGCGUCCUGGAU